rnacentral:lncRNA from 1 species
GGAAGACAGCAAUCUACACACAUACACUCACACACCCCGUCCCUUUCCCUCCUCGCAGAAGCCGAGGAGAUGCCAUGUGAGGGUGCAGCGAGGAGUUGGGCUGUCUAAAAGCAAAGAAAGAGAUUGCAUCAGACACCGCAUCUGCUGACACCUUGUUCUUGGACUUCCAGCUUCCAAAACCGCGAGAAAUAAAUGUCUGUGUCUAAACCCCAACCCUACCACCUCAACUGCCGUGUGUGGUGUUUUGUGAUGGCAGCCCCAGCUGACUGAGACACCUGGUUAGACCGGAAUAAGCAGGCUGCAAUCGGUAGCAGUCACCAUUGAACAUCCUUGAAGCAAUUCUUCCAAAAUUACCUUGCAUCAAAGACUGCACAAGAACUGCUCUAAGCGGAAGGACUGAUGUCGGCAACCAGGGUUCCACCAGGGGCUGCAGACAGCCCUUGACCUUCAGGUGGGAAGGUGUCACUGAGUUCAGACCCUCUGGCAAUCCCUAGCUAUCAACAUUUUGAUAAGAAAAUAAGUGGAAAGAAGUAACCAAAUUUACUCACGUAGGCCAGGAAUUUCUAUGACGUGUUCCAAAUUCAGCCUCUCACUGAACACUUCCAGAGCAAGGCAACAUAAACAUCUGCAAGAAGAACAUUGUGUGAGAAAUAUCAAGUGAGAGUGGAAGAGUCUGCGGAGGGCCUCCCUGGGGCUCACCUGUGCUUUUGCCUGAGCUUCACCGUGUCAAGCACUUUUUCCCUCUGGAGGAAGCAGCUUUCACCUUGGAAGAAUCUUGACCUUGCCAUUCAAAGUCACCAGACAGGGAAUCUGCCAGUGCCUUGAUCUUAGACUUCCCAGCUUCUGUAACUGUGAGCAAUAAAUGUAUGCUGCUUAUAAACUAUCCAGUCUCAUGCAUUUUGUUAUAGCAAUAUAAACAGAUGAAGACAGACAUAAACAUAUCUUUUUGAGAGAUGCAAUGCAACCCAUACCACCAGGAUUGCCACAUGUUUGCUGAUUUCACCUGGUAGCAAGGCUUAGCUAUCUUGGCUUGAAUGUAAUACCUCCAUCUUUUCUCUUGGUCAUCCUCUUUAAGCAGAGGACUUUUAUCUACCCAAGCAGAAUCCUGUGUUCUUGCUAUUCGAAGUGCAGCCCAGCCUCCUGCAGCCACCACAUCACUUGUGAUGCUUGACAGAAAUGCAGACUCUCUGUUCCCACCUCAAACCUACUGACUUGGGAAUCUGCAGCUUACCAAGAUCUCCAGGUGAUCCACGUACACGUCAAACUUUGAAAAGCAGUGGUUUGCAGAACAAAAAGGAUUCAGCUUCUGAUAUGGUUUGGAUUUGUGUCUG